CGCAACGCCAUCUAGCGGCCCGCGCGGCAAACCGGCCCACCUGCCUGCGAGAGACAACGAUCGACAUUCACCGUCGUCCGUCGCGCUCACACUAGUGGCACGUAAAAAUAACCUCAAAACGUCUGAUCGUGAAUCAACCAAUCGUCCAAAAUAUUGUCUCAACUCUCAAGUUUAUUUCGACAGUGACAUUAUCAAUGCAGAUUCAGUGCGGACUGGAACGGUGUUAAUGUGAUAUAACUGCGAUCCCCUGGAUUGUUUCUCUCGCUGUGUAUCUUGCGUGUGAUUAUAACGAAAGUUUGUUAGAACAAAAUAAUAAUAUGUUCGUUUUGGUGGGCUGUCGACGGGCAGCCCCCAAAUUUUGUGCCAAUAUGUGGUGGUAUUUAUUUAUUUGUGUGUUGUUUUUUAAAACGAAUGGUGUGUUGAGUUCGAAUACCACUGGAGCUAUUCCUGGAAAUGUGUGCUCAUUGAAGCAAUUCCAGUGUGCGAACGGGAAGUGUAUACCGAUGACGUGGGUGUGCGAGGGAGAGAACGACUGCGGCGAUAACUCUGAUGAAAAUAUCGAGGAAUGUAAAAAAGAAAGUCGCACGUGCACCGCUUCUGAAUUCCGAUGCAAAACCGGACGUUGUAUACCGACCCUAUGGCGUUGCGACAACGAGAAAGACUGCUCCGACGGCUCCGACGAAGAUCCAACCACUUGCAAAGUGGAGGCGUGCGGUCCUGAAGAGUUCACUUGCAGAGGAAAAAGGGGUGAAUGCGUGCCCCUCACUUGGAUGUGUGACGACAACGUGGAUUGUUCGGAUGGGUCCGAUGAAAAAGCAUGCAAUGAAACAUGUCGAUCGGACGAGUUCACGUGCGGAAACAGCAAAUGUAUACAGCAGCGGUGGGUGUGCGACGGUGAUGAUGACUGCGGAGACGGCACCGACGAGGUCAAGUGUCCAGCACCCACAUGCCAACCGCACACACACUUCACAUGCGCGGAUGGACAUUGUGUGACUGCGCGGUGGAGGUGCGACGGGGACAUUGACUGCCCUGAUGGAAGUGAUGAGACGAAAUGUCCCACCCCGCCGAAGGUGAUAUCGCCAUGCAUCGCCACAGAGUUCGAAUGCAAAGAUCGCAUGACAUGCGUGCACAGGGCGUGGGUGUGCGACGGUGACCGGGACUGUCCCGACGGUGGUGACGAAGCCCCGGAGAUCUGCCACGGAAACCACACCUGCAGGAUAGACCAGUUCCAGUGCAAGGAUCACAGUUGCAUCCCAGGAGCAUUCUAUUGCAACGGAGACAAAGAAUGUCCGGACGGCAGUGAUGAAGUUAACUGCACAAGACCAAAACCUGUGUGCAACAAAAGGACGGAAUUCGACUGCGGCGGCGGAAUGUGCAUACCUCUGUCCAAAGUGUGCGAUAAACAUCCAGACUGUCCGAACUUUGAAGACGAACCUCCUAACCGUUGUGGAGAAGACGAGUGCGCCAAACAUAACGGUGGAUGUACACAACGAUGCGUUGAUACACCUGUUGGUUACUAUUGCGAUUGUGAGAAGGGAUACAAGCUCACUGAUAACAGAACGUGUGAAGAUAUUGACGAAUGUUUAGACCCAGGAGCCUGCUCCCAGAUAUGUAUAAACGAGAAGGGCACAUUCAAAUGCGAGUGUCACUCUGGAUACGCAAGGGACCCUCGGGAUAGAACCCGCUGCAAGGCAACUGAAGGUCAUCCCUCACUGCUGUUCGCAAGACGCUUUGACAUUAGGAAGAUCAGUCUCGACCAUCACGAAAUGGUGGCCAUUGUAAACGACACGAAGUCAGCCACCGCGCUGGAUUACGUCUUCAGAACCGGCAUGAUAUUUUGGAGCGAUGUCAUAGAAGAAAAAAUUUAUAAGGCACCAAUCGAUGAAGGCAGUCAACGGACAGUCGUGAUAGGCGAUCAGUUGAUCACUUCGGACGGGCUGGCAGUGGACUGGGUCUACAACCACCUCUACUGGACCGACACUGGCAAGAACCACAUCGAGCUAUCCGACCUGCAGGGCAACAUGAGAAAGAUACUGAUUCGGGACGAGCUUGAAGAGCCACGUGCGAUAGCCUUGAAUCCUCUUGAUGGAUGGAUGUACUGGACAGACUGGGGUCAAGUGCCGAAGAUCGAACGCGCUGGUAUGGACGGCUCCCAUAGACAAACCAUCAUCUCCUACGACGUCAAAUGGCCCAACGGUCUAACGUUAGAUCUUGUGCGGAAACGUGUAUACUGGGUGGACGCUAAAUUGAACACAAUCUCGUCGUGCAACUACGACGGCUCAGCGCGUCGAGUCGUCCUCUACUCCACGGACUUCCUGCGACACCCGUUCUCCAUCACUACCUUCGAAGACUCCGUGUACUGGACCGACUGGGACAAGACCGCGGUGUACCGCGCCAACAAGUUCAACGGGAAAGACGUCGAGCCCAUAACCUCUACACACACGCUUCAAAACCCCAUGGUGAUCCACGUGUACCACCCGUACCGACAACCCGACGGCGUGAACCACUGCGCAGCCGUCAACGGCCACUGCUCGCAUCUGUGCUUGCCUGCGCCGCGGAUAGGGCCCUACUCGCCGAAGGUUUCCUGCUCCUGUCCCAACGGUUUGCGACUCCUGCCCGACAACCAGAUGUGCGUCGAAGACAACGUACCGGAAACAACAAACAAGGCAGGAUCAGGAAUCUCAAGUAGCGGGCGCGACGCAAGUGUUGUUGCGGGCAUUGUCGUUGCAGUGAUCUCCGGAAUAAUAAUACUUGGAGCUUUGAUCGCGGUUGUCAUGUACCGACAUUACGUACAUCGUAAUGUCACCUCAAUGAACUUCGACAACCCGGUGUACCGCAAGACAACGGAGAACCAAUUUGCCCUCGAACAAAAUGGAUACGCACCAGGCAGCAAGCUAUACCCCAGUACAGUGGGAGAGGAGGUAAGAGCGCUAACCGCAAUGGAGUGCACACUCAAUAUACAAAACAGCCUCAGAUAAGUCGGUCCAACCGGAUCUACUAUCCAAUGUGGAAACAAUUAAGCUGGAAACACAUUGGCAACACGCUCACGCCACAUGACACCACUAUUAUUGAUUCAUGCAACUCUAUUAAUACACAUUUCACACUCGACAAAGUUAACUAAACAAGUAAGAAAUGAAGCUCUAAAUUUUCGCGAAAAGUUGCACAAUUUUUUACAUGGAAAUUUUGGCAAUUCUUUCAGUCUUUUGCAGCAUUAACACAUUACCACUUUGAAUGUUAGUAAGAUUGAAUUAGAUUCGACUUACAUUGCUUUUAUAGCGUGGCGUGUUGUAAAUGUAUCCGUGCCAUUAUGUUAAGUGGAUAUUGUAAUCGACUUGCUGUCUUCUGUUAACAUUUUUUGUCUACGCUCCAAAAAUUAUUUUCAAAAUAUCACUACACUAAUUUUACGUACAAUGAAACUAUACAACCCCUAUCUAUCUAUGUCUACUUAUUUAUAGCCAAAAAAUAUAAUGUAAAUAGUAAAAACAAAUAUUUAAAUAGGUAAACAUUUGGUAAGGUCUGCCUAAGACAUUUUAAAUUCGAUGUAUGUAUUUAGUCUGAUUAUAUUUAUUAGGAUUAUUAUAUUAAGGAAUUUAUAGAAAAUAUUUUCGUUAGUGUAUAAGGUCGUGGCGAUAAAUUGUGCCAACGUUUUUACCGCAUCAGUAUUAAAGAAUAGUUGCCAAAAAAAAUGGUAUUUGAUGGUAGGUGUAACAUUGUAAAUAGUACCAUUAAUAGUGUUUUGUCCUUUGCAUAGUAUAGGCCAUAUUUUUAUAAUUUACUGCUGAGAUAUUUAUUUUUCAUGCGUUAUCAAACGAGGGCUUCUAAUUUUCGAGUCAAGAGCCGCUCAAUACACCCGGUACAAAUGAGUUUGUAUAGUGCAAGGGCCGGGAGUAAAUAUAUUAUAAUGUCUCUAAAUGUGAAAAGAAAAAGAAGGACAUGUGAUACUAUAAAAAAAAUAGUGUAAACCAGUGAAAGGGGACGCAGCUAACUUUAUGUAGUGAACGUUUGUUAGCUUUAGUGCAGUGAGGGGCAUUGGAACAAAGUUCUUUUUGCUAUCAAGCUAUCGUUUACGCGAAACUCGAAAUUAAUACUAAGUGUAUGAUUUAUUACAAUGCAUUGUCAUUUUAAAACUGAGAUCUUGCUUUUGUAUUACCUACUUGUAUCACAUAAUGUUAGAAUAGAGGAAUUGUGUCGGCUAAUUUGUAGUACUGUGAAUAGUUGAAGUGAUGAUGUAGCCAAUAGGAUUACAAUAAUCUGUGAUGGACAUAUCACGCUCUCUUGAAAUUGUAGGUAUGAACUGAUAACACGUUUUCUAUGCUUGUCAUACUAAUUUUUCGCCUAUAAAUUUCUCUUUUGAUAACUUAUGUAAUCGUAUUGGCUAUAACUUAUCAAUUAUGCCUGGUGCAUUGCAAUUAUUUGUAGUGUUUACAAAGUUUUAUAUUCCAUUUUUAGUUAAGGGUUUUAACUCUUUUGUGAGACACUUUACAAAAUUAUCAUUAGAACGAAGAAACUCAUAUCUAAGAGCAAACAUUACUUGAAUAAGCAUAAAGGGAUGAAUACUUUUAUGUAUGAAAAAAAUACCGAAGAUGAAAGUUACUAAUUUAAUCAUUUUAAAUCAUGUUUUUAUCUAGAUAGUAAUAUUUAAUUUAUUGGAAUUAUGAAUGUUUUAAUGAAAUGUCUAAUGUAAGUUACAUUAGCCGAUGUUUAGGCUAUUUAUUACAUCGCUGUAUUUUAUGUGCCAAUUAGUAGUGAAUUCAAUAAUUAAUCGUUCGCCAAAUGAAUGUCCUUAUAAACUAUACUCAUUUUUAUAUCUCAAUGUAUUAUAUAAUUCGAAUUUUAUAGUUUAUUUAAAAUGAUAUAUUUAAAUACUGUUGUGCAUUAAACAGUUACAAUAUUUCGUUAUAUAUAUUUUAUAUGAAGGUUGGGUUGUACGUAUUUUUAUUGAUAACACAUUAGGCCUGUAUUCGAACAAUGAAAUUUCAAGCAAAAUCCUGCCAAACCCUCUAAAUCUAUAUUAGUUUGUAAUACACCUAUUUGUAAUGUAAUACAAUUACAUAACUUGAUGCACAUUUCAUAUGGUACGCCUAGCUCAAUAAGUGUGGUCACUAAAAUAUUAUGUAAAUAUCGUCAAUAAAAUAUUAUGUAAAAUGUGUUAA